rnacentral:rRNA from 1 species
UACGGAGGGGGCUAGCGUUGUCCGAAGUUACUGGGCGUAAAGCGCGCGUAGGCGGGUUGGUAAGUCCGCUGUGAAAGCCCGGAGCUUAACUCCGGAGGGUCGGUGGAUACUGCCAGUCUUGAAGGUGCUAGGGGGAGAUGGAAUUACCGGUGUAGCGGUGAAAUGCGUAGAUAUCAGGAGGAACACCGGCGGUGUAGACGGCUUUCUGGACCGUAGCUGACGCUGAGACACGAAAGCGUGGGUAGCAAACAGG